rnacentral:tRNA from 1 species
GGGGUUGUGGCUCAGUGGUAGAGCAUUUGUCUGGCAUGCAUGAGGCACUGGGUUCGAUUCUCAGCACCA